UUUAAUAAUAAAAUUAUUAAAUUUAUUUAGUUUAUUUUAUAUUUUUUAAUUUAAUUAAAAUUAUUUAUAUUAUUUUUAAGUAUAUUUUAUAGAAAAAAUUUUUAGAAUUAUAGUUUAAUAUUAUUGUAAAAGAAUUUUGAAAUAUUAUGAAAUUUAUUUAAUUAAAAGUAAUAUUUAAUUUAUGUACCUUGUGUAUCAGGGUUUAUUAAAAUUAUUUCAAUUAAAUUGAAUUUUUCUAAUUUAAAAGAUCUAAAUAUUUAUGAAAUUUUUAUUGUAUCAUUAAUAUUUUAAAUUAAUAUUUAGUAAUGAAAUGUUAUUCGUUUUUAAAGUUAUUUAAUUUUUUAAUAAAUAAAUUUAAUUUAUAUAUUAAUUUUUAAGUUAAUAAUUUUUUAUUAUUAUUUAAUUUUAAUAUUUAUAUUUUAGGGGAUAAGCUUUAAAAUAAAUUAUUAUAAUAUUUAUUUUUAUAUUAUUAUAUUAAUAUAUUAUAGUCUUAAGAAUAGAUUUUAUAUAAAAAUGUUUUAAUUUAUUAUUGGUUUUAUAAAAUUUAAUUUUAAUUUAAUUUUUUAUUAAAAUUUUUAAUUAAAUAAUUAUAUUUAAUUAAAAAUGAUAAAAUUAGUAAAUUAUUUAUUUAUUUAAUUAAAAAUUAUUUGUUAGGUUAUUUUAAGGAAUUCGGCAAAAAUUUAUAUUUGCUUGUUUAACAAAAACAUCGUUUUUUGAAUAUAAUUUAAAAUUUGAUCUGCUCAAUGAAUUUAUAAUUUAAAUAGCCGCAGUAUUUUGACUGUGCAAAGGUAGCAUAAUAAUUAGUCUUUUAAUUGAAGGCUGGAAUGAAAGAUUUGACAAGAUAUAAACUGUCUUAAUUUAAAUUUUAAUUGAAUUUAAUUUUUAAGUUAAAAAGCUUAAAUUUAUUUAAAGGACGAGAAGACCCUAUAGAGUUUUAUAAUUUAUUAAAUUUGAUAAUUUAAAUUUUAUUUUAAAUUUUGAUAAAUUAUUUUGUUGGGGUGAUAGGAAAAUUUAAUAAACUUUUUUAUAAAUUUUACAUUUAUUUAUGAAUUUUUGAUCCUGAUUAUUUUGGAUUAUUAGAUUAAAUUACCUUAGGGAUAACAGCGUAAUUUUUUUUAGAGUUCUUAUCGAUUUAAAAGAUUGCGACCUCGAUGUUGGAUUAAAAUUUAAUUUAGGUGAAGAAGCUUAAAAUUUAGGUCUGUUCGACCUUUAAAAUUUUACAUGAUCUGAGUUCAAACCGGUGUAAGCCAGGUUGGAUUCUAUCCUUAAAAUUUUGUAAGUUUUUAGUACGAAAGGAAUUAAAUUUAAAUUUGUAAUUUAUAUAAUUGAUUAAAAUUAAUAAUUUU
rnacentral:rRNA from 1 species